rnacentral:lncRNA from 1 species
GAAUACUUUCCAGCUAUAGUUCAUUUCAGAUGUUCACAAGACAAACUACAGUUUUCAAGGGCAGAAAGAAAAAUAAAAUACUCAUUUUCCAGCAGCAUAAUGCAUAAAUCUUCCAUGUAUUCCUCCUCAUUUACUUAUGUUUCAUCCCUAAACCUUCUAUAUGAUGUUAGUCUUGUAGUAAUUUUUAGCCCUCAUUACUAAGAUCAAAAUAAUGUGUGCCUCAAACAUAUUACUCUAUUAUCCACGCAAGUAGGAUAAAAGAAAGCAUGUAUCAUUGCUUCCCAAUACGGCAAUACAAGCCAAUUUUUCUUUGACCAUUGAUCUUGUAAUCCCAUUCGUACAUUAAACGUGCCUUUCAACUUCCAUUUAAAAUAUGACUUUUGUGGUCAUUCAUCAAACUCCUCCAAAUUAAAUUUACAUUCUCUGCAUUCUGCUUGGUAAACCUCAGUCACACUUUCAUCAAAAACUUUCAGGUAUACUAUAAUUUUUGGAGCUAUGUACCCUCGAAAAAAGUCUUCAAACAAAUAUAUUCUUCUUUAGCAUCAAAAGGAAGCUAAAACUUCUAAUUAAAUGAUUACAAGAACACUCACUCUGCAACCUCAUGACAAAGAAUGCAUGGGAAGAGACCCUCAAAACCAUUUCAGAUUUGUUUUAUCCUCCUCAUUCAUCUCGUGUAUAUGCUCCUAAUAUGUUCAGAGCUACAUUGUACAGGUUUAGAAUUAGGAAUGAAUACUUAUAUCCAUAAAGUCACAAAAUAUUUAUCAAGAAAGAAAACGAAGAUAAAUAUUUAAUUAUGGACUACUUUUGAUAGAAGAAUGGUAUCGGAUAAUAAACAAUGCAGCUGAUAGCAGAGUAGUUGUUUUCUCUAGCCACCUGCAUAAUGGUAUAUAAAAUCAGACAGUAUACUCCAUUUAUUUAAUUGCGCCAUCUGAUAGAUCUUUUUGAACAAAAAAUUGCAAACCAAGUACAUGUAAUAAUCAUGGCCCGAGGACAUCAUGACAUUAUCAAGCCAUAUUUUUCAGAAUAAACUCCAUAUUAGUCCCACAUAUUUAGAAAAAAAUUCUAUAUCUUAUGUUAUAAGCUGGAUAGUGGUAAUCCGAAUUUUCUUUGGAAUAUUGCAGAAUAGGCAAUUGAGCAGUAUGAAGAAUGAAGUUCUACAAGGAAAAGCAAGACUCAUGAAAAAAAUUAUAAAGGAAAAUCAAAGAUGGAAACUCCAGUUGAAAUGAACUUCAGUGCAAAUUCUUUAUUUAGGAAGGUAUAGACCAGGAUUAUACAACAUGAUUAUGAAAUAGGCUGCAUGAAUUUAUUGAAAAAUUAAAGUCAAACGUUAAGUUGUUUGCUUCAUAUGCCAACAAACGAAAAGAUUCUUUGAAUGUCCAUAGGAAAACAAAAAAAAGGCUAAAGAAGUAUCGAAGAUUGACUCAUUAUAUUUAGGCUUAGCAUUAUAUGGCAUCACAAUCUGAUGCCUUCGAAUAGAAGAAGCUGAGAACGAUCCAGUGAAAGAAAGCAUCCAAUAGAGACACCGCAAAGAAAAUUAUAAGUUGGAAAAUGCGAGCCAAAACUCUCCUUAUCUGUUAGCCAGAAAGAAUAAAAACUAAUGGAGCCAUAUGCAGAACUCCAAUAGUAUGAAAAGUAAUUACUACAUAGAAGUAGAUCUCGAUACAAGAAGUCUACUAAAAAGGAAAGAGUGAAGAAGGAAGACAUUGCCAACUAAUGAUGAUACUGCAAAAGGUCCCAUUAAUUCAAUCACUGUUCUAGAUUGACCAUACUGCAAGGUUUAUAAUAUAUAGACCUCACAAAAUAUGUUUCAAGGAAAGCUAAAUCGGGACUACAGAAGAGUUUGAAUAAUAAAUUAGCAGUGAUAAUUAUUAUGCUCCUAUCAAAUUAUUUAACUCUUCCACAGACAAUUCUAAUUAGCAAAAAAUCAAUCUUUAAUCGGGCAAACAUGUAUAUUUUUGGUUAUGAGAAAUCCAACUUAAGCCAAUACACAAAUUGACAAAACGUAAUAACUGGUGAAAAGCGUGUCGUUUGCGCAGUGUAUAUACGAUGAAAUGCAUAUAAAUAGAAAAAGAGUGUACCUUCUCGAAAUCUAUUGAAGGAGCCAUGGUGAAAUCGAAUUGUGCUUUUUUGCUGUUGCUGGUCCUUUUCAUGUU